GGCUCCAUAGUGUAGUGAUUAGGACGUCUGCUUUACACGCAGAAGAUCCUGGGUUUGUGCCCUAGGUUGAGCCA
rnacentral:tRNA from 1 species